GAUGAACGCUAGCUACAGGCUUAACACAUGCAAGUCGAGGGGAAACGAUGAGAGAGCUUGCUCUCUUAGUCGUCGACCGGCGCACGGGUGAGUAACGCGUAUCCAACCUGCCUCUGACCAAGGGAUAACCCGUCGAAAGUCGGACUAAUACCUUAUGCAGUCGUCGGAAGUCAUCUGAUGACGACGAAAGAUUUCAUCGGUGAGAGAUGGGGAUGCGUCUGAUUAGCUUGUUGGCGGGGUAACGGCCCACCAAGGCGACGAUCAGUAGGGGUUCUGAGAGGAAGGGCCCCCACAUUGGAACUGAGACACGGUCCAAGCUCCUACGGGAGGCAGCAGUGAGGAAUAUUGGUCAAUGGGCGUAAGCCUGAACCAGCCAAGUAGCGUGCAGGAUGACGGCCCUAUGGGUUGUAAACUGCUUUUAUGCGGGGAUAAAGUGAGGGACGUGUCCUUCAUUGCAGGUACCGCAUGAAUAAGGACCGGCUAAUUCCGUG
rnacentral:rRNA from 1 species